rnacentral:snRNA from 1 species
CUGCUUCUGCAGCACAAAUAGUAAAACUGGAACAAAUCAAAGAUCAGCAUGGCUCCUGCACAAGGAUGACGUUUGUGGAGUGUUCCAUGUUUUU